rnacentral:rRNA from 1 species
CAAUCUGCCUUGGAUGGGAUAACGUUGGAACAGCCGCUAAUACCGCAUGAUACAGCUAUCCCGNAUGGGUUGCUGUCAAAGAUUUAUCGCUCUGAGAUGAGCUCGCGUCUGAUUAGCUUGUUGGCGGGGUAACGGCCCACCAAGGCGACGAUCAGUAGCCGGACUGAGAGGUUGGCCGGCCACAUUGGGACUGAGACACGGCCCAGACUCCUACGGAAGGCAGCAG